rnacentral:lncRNA from 1 species
UUCCUUUUCGCGAUGAGAUUCAACGGGACCUCCCAUGAAAGCCCUUUAGCCCGAGUUGAUAUCCCUGAUUGAUCUGCUUUCUUACAAACACAGAAUUAAAAACUUUACUUGCUGCAAGAUCCCGAGAUGAACCAGCCAGCAGACAUUACCUUUACACUCACCAAGUGGCAUUACUAAGACUUUUCCUCAAUUGCCUCCAAUUCCUAGUUUACCAUUGUUAACCUUGACAUAAAUUUAUAAAUACUGGUUGCACAAAUAGUCUGAGAUGAGCUUUGUCCACAUGAAAACCUAUUUGUUUAAGAGGGGUGCUAGU